UAAAACCAGCAGACUGUUAAAAGAGAGCUGUAAUGGGGCAAAAAGCCUCCCUUGAGACGGAACCCUCCUGUCCUGCAUUCAGUAAACACCUGCGCCGGCCAGGAGCCGAGGCAUUCGGGCUCUUAAGUACCUUGGGCUGGAACAUACCCUUCUCACAGGCUGCACCUGUGAACUUUCUGGAGGGCUUUGUUCCAGUUUGUGAUGACUCCCAGGAAUGUUAAGGCUUUAGCUCUGGGUCUAAAGAGACCAUGUCCCAAGGCAGCGUCCCAUAACAAAAGAGAAGAUAGAGGAAGGUCACAAAGGACCUGGCUCCAGAGAGGAGAGCAGGGGUGGGCGCGUGGGGGCUUAAGGGGAGUCCAGGCCCCACGUUCAUUUCUGAACUUCCCUCUGAAGCUCCCCGCGUGGGCACGACCACCUGUUUGCCAUCAAAGGCUGAAAUUCAAGCAAGAAAGGCUGCUUUGCCGUGUUACUUUGUCAAGUAAAUCUGUCUGCCCAGAGGAGAGGUGCUCUGACAAGUCCCUGUAUUACCUGCGAUGGAGGCGGACAGGAGCUGCUCUCCCCAGAACCAGAUGCCGAUUCGAUCCUGAUUAGCUGAAUUAGCCCAGCCUUGAAUCUUCACAAGUCGAGACAAUCAUCUCUUCUCCCAAGAGGAAAUUCCCGUAAGUGGUGGAGACGAGGAAGUGGAAAUGCUUGCCAGCUUGUGGAUCAGCAUGAAGGCUACAGGACUCACCUGUUACUGAGAAAAUGUUAGAAGGCAAUUGAUAACAUCUGGGGGUUAAAAGACAUCUAUUUCUACGCAAAAACAAAAUGAAUCACUCCAAGGAGAUGAAUUCAACCACAAGACUCAGCCUGGAAGAGGACCCCAGAGGAGACCCACAGCCCCAAUCAACACUUUGAUUUCAGCCCAGUGAGAACCUGAGAAGAGCAUCCAGCCCCAUGACACCCAGACUUCUGAUCUGCAGAAACUGAGAUCUCUUUGGAGGUGUGGCUGCCAUAGAAACAUUCAGUCCACCAGUGAUGGAGAAACAGGAGGAUGUGAGCCACAGUGCUCCUUCUCCAACAGCCGGCAAAGGAGGAGAAAAGUCUGAAGAUGUUGGAGCCAAGACAGCCACGGAGUGGGGCUGGGCACGUCCCCGAGCAGCUGGAGAAACCCCAUAUGGGACUGAAAUGAAAAACACGGCAUUAUCAGAUGACUUGCAGAUGGAGCGGGAUUCGCCUCCAGAGGCGGGACCAGACAUGGAGUGACUUUCUCCCGCGAAUCGUGUGCUUCCCCAGGGUAUCCUUGACAUCCUGACAUCAAGACGUUGUUAAUGAUACUUGCUUUUCAACUGUUGGAGACUGUCAGCCACGGUAGCCUCUGCAGAAGCUACAAUGGGAGGAAAGCCGCACAGCG